rnacentral:misc_RNA from 1 species
ACCGAACUCCUUUACUUUCUCAGGCAUGUCUCUGUAUUACAUAUUUAAAGCCAAAUGUACGAUACGUACGCAUAUCCAUUUACAUCUUUUUCUUCUCGACUCCAAUAUUUGCAUUCACAUUUUAUACGAAGAAGGCAUAAGGAUGCAGAAACACUCUCGAGUGAAUUGGAAAGAAAAGCUUUCUGUAGUUUCCAAAGUAGGACAGAAGCCUUGCGUGCGGAUGUAUAUCAUUAACUUGUUUUAUAUUGCCAGGGCAUUGGUAGACUCUUCAGCUGCCUG